rnacentral:rRNA from 1 species
AACGAACGCUGGCGGCAGGCUUAACACAUGCAAGUCGAGCGCGUAGCAAUACGAGCGGCAGACGGGUGAGUAACGCGUGGGAACGUACCCUUUUCUACGGAAUAACGCAUGGAAACGUGUGCUAAUACCGUAUACGCCCUUAGGGGGAAAGAUUUAUCGGAGAAGGAUCGGCCCGCGUUGGAUUAGCUAGUUGGUGGGGUAAAGGCCUACCAAGGCGACGAUCCAUAGCUGGUCUGAGAGGAUGAUCAGCCACAUUGGGACUGAGACACGGCCCAAACUCGUACGGGAGGCAGCAGUGGGGAAUAUUGGACAAUGGGCGCAAGCCUGAUCCAGCCAUGCCGCGUGAGUGAUGAAGGCCUUAGGGUUGUAAAGCUCUUUCACCGGAGAAGAUAAUGACGGUAUCCGGAGAAGAAGCCCCGGCUAACUUCGUGCCAGCCGCCGCGGUAAUAC